rnacentral:lncRNA from 1 species
CCCACCUGGAAGCCAUAGAGUCUUGAGAGAUGUGGUUCCCUGUGAUGGAAAGCAGAACUGGGGAAGGACGAUGGAGCAAAUGGGCAGUUGCUUCCCCUCCCCGGCAAGUGUCACUCCCUCCAACCACCAAACAUCUGCCUCUGUAGCCAGUAGAAAGUGUGGUCCUCCUUUCCAUGACCUGCAGCUCAUCUGGGGAUGCUCCUGCUCCUUGACUUCCCACUGUUGGCCGGGGGCUCUCUUGGAGUGAUAGCCUGAGACCUGGAGGGAUGGUGGGACUGGUUCUCUGCCUACCCAGACUCUGUGGUGUCCCUGGAUCAGCCCAAACCACCCUCCUGCUCAGCCUGGCCUAGACAUCUAUGGUCAAUUACACUUGUCCUCUCACUCCUACUGCCACCUGCUAUACCAGGGUCAUCAGGGGCUGAAUGUGUACUGUGGAAUCCAGGUCCCUCGCCACAGCUCUGCAGUGACUGAUGUCUGCUCUUCACACUUUGAGGGUGCCACUGGAGGUGGGAAAAGCUUUUCAGGUCCCUCAUCCUCAGGGGUAUAGAAAGCAGGAGUCCUAAGAGCUGCCAGGGGCAGAGAAUUGAAGGCUGGGCAGGGGGCAGGCAGUGGGGACACAGAGAGUGUUAUUUAAUGUUAGAUGAGACAGAAAUUAGAAACGGUUCAACAGUGGGCCCUCGGCAGAUACGCACUUUGGGGAAAUGGAAUCAGCCAGCCAUCAUCAACACUGUCUAUGGAGCCUGUUGCUGACCUUACUCACAGGCCUUCUGAGACCACAAAUUCCUGUUCUCUGUAGAUAAGUCCUGGAAGCCCUCACAAGAAAAACGGAUAGAAAAGCCAGGGGGUCAAGAGGCUCCUGGACCCUGUGGAUCUGUAUUUCUGGCCAUAGGACCCAGCAUCCAAAGCGGCAGGUCUCUCUGCCCUCUGGCCCAGCCCAGCCAGUGGCACUGUAAAGCCAAUUCCAUGCUAUCCUGUUCUCUUCUGGGGGUUCGCUUCCUCAUCCUGGGGCUGACGAGACUAUCUAGUUACCACAGAGGCUCCUGGGAAAUUCUCAGAAGCUAUUGCCAGGGGAAUAUUGAAUGUCUUAAUAGGCACAGCCCUGAAGGCACCUGGCCAGCUGCUCACCUGGGACUCCACCUUACCUGAAAUCUGGUAAAUCCCAUCAGAAUGGAAACCUCCUCCUUGUGGCCUGGGGAGAGGGGCUAGAAAUGCAGAGACUCAGAAAAUCCUUAGCUGUGUGCUGCUUAUGCCAUAGAAUGCCUGCAGCUCUGUACUUUGUCCUGCCCUGGGCCUAGGGAUGCCAUCCCCCCAACUCCUCCCCAGGGUCCGCCUGCCCAUGGGAGCCAGUCAAGUAACCAAGGGGUUCUGCUAAUGCCUCAAGGAAAUCGAAAGUCCUGUGGCCCUCCUCUUCCCUUCCCUUCCCUCUGUAUCUCCCCCAACCCUUUACUCCCCACUCUGUGGUGCUCCCACUGAGUUCUCUUCUGAGCAGCCUGUGUCAACCAAAUGGUGAAAGUAGGGGAAAGCUACAACCUCCAGGAGGGGAAGAGAAUGUGACAGCCUGUGAGACUGCUUCUUAUUCCCACAGAGCACCUCAGCACCUCCUGAUGGUGCCCAUGUACCUGGUCUGGGUCACUGUCCCUGAGCACUCAGGCCUGUCCCCGAUGCGGGUCCUCCCAGUUCGUGUGUGUUGUCACAGCAAUUCCACCCUGGGGGGAUUCCAAGGUCAUCCCCUGUGAGUACCACAUGUUCAUUAGACACCUACAGCAUGUGCCACACCCUGGGCUGGUGUCAGACACAGUGGCGGCCCUAGGUGAGCUCCAUGUAUAAUCAGGAAGGGUGCUUCAGAAAGCAGCCAUUUUUUCCUUAGCCAGAGGCUUCUGUGAGGGGUUUAGGUGAGAGAGAGGCAAAGCAAAGGGAUUCAGACAAAGAAAGUCAAGGGAAAACAUGAGUAAGACCCAGAAAACAAACUUUUCACUUGAAAAUUGACCACACACCCAAGAAAACAUGUGGAAAAACCCACCACGUGUGUGGUCCUGUAUUUCACAUACCUGGGGCACACCCAGCACCCAUCAAAAGCAAUCUGCUUGCUACCGGAUUUAAAGAAUGAAACUCAUUCCUUAGGGUCUCUGACAUUUCCUUGUUUACAACACAGAGCAUUCUGGCAUAUUCAGCAGUCUUCUACACCCAGAGAUUAUGUGGUUACUGACCUUUUAGUAACAGACUGGAACUUGGGGAAAAAGCAAUGUUCUUUCUCAACGUGCUUUAGCUGAUCAUAACCAAGUGUCCAAAUCAUUUCCUACAAAGUGGGGCAUUUGCCUAAGGAGAGGAGAGAGGGAGGAAGUCACCCAUUUUGAGUUAUGACAUCCCAGAGCGAUUUUUUGAUGGCUAAAAGAAAUGGGGUAUCAAAGACAAGUGGAGCAGGAUGGAAAUCUAUAGAGAGCCCCUGAGAUGUUCUCAGUUAAAAGCAAUUCUGGCAUAGAAAUGUGUGCCAGGGUCUAUGGCCACCCCAUAGCUCUCAUUUAUCUUAGCCUGGCUUGAGUGGUACCAGAGAGUUCUGAAUGGAAACUGCAGUAGAGUUGGCUUAAUCUUUUUUUUUUUUCAGUAUUAGAGAUUGAAACUGGAGGCGCUCUACUACUGAACUACAUGCCAAGAUAAUUUUGUAUAUCAUCAUUCUCAUUAUUAUUAUUUUAAAAUAAUUUUUUUUAGAUAUUGAUGGACCUUUAUUUUAUUCAUUUAUUUAUAUUCGGUGCUGAGAAUUGAACCCACGUGCCUCACACAUGCUAGGCAAGUGCUCUACCACUGAGCCACAAUCACAGCUCCAUGACGAUGCUGCUGCUGCUGAUGAUGAUGUUGUUAUUUUGUGUGUGUGUGGUACUGGGGAUUGGACUCAUAGGUGCUUUGUUACUGAGCUACAUCCCAGUUUUAUUUUUUAUUUUGAGACAGAGUCUUACUAAAUUGCAGAGGUCAACCUGCAAUCACCUGCCUCACUCAGCCUUCUGAGUCACUGGGAUACAGGCUUGCUCUACCACACCCAGCUUUGGCUUUAUAUUUUGAUGUGACUAUAGACAUGUAGACAUGUCAGUUUGCAGGCAAAAUCCCAAAGCUGUAAACAGUAUAAACUUGAUCUUCCAUCAGGCCUGGCAUGGUCAGGCUGACCUCAGCCAGCAUUCCACUUUCCCUAUCUGCUACAAUGAUCUGGAUAGUGAUAAAGAAACUCACAUCUCUGAAAGUGAGGCAAAGAAUGAAAAUACUGCCGUACACUGUGCAACAUGACAUUUGGGUCAACGAGGGAGUGCAUAUGAGAUGGUGGUCCCAUAAAAUUAUAUCAUCUGGUGACAUCAUAGCCAUCUUAAUUGGUGUAAAUACACUCUGUGAUGUUAGCACCAUGAUGCUAUCACUCAACAACACACUUCUCAGAACAUAUACCUGUCACUAAGCCUCCCAGGACUUCUAAGGGCUCUGUGGGAAAGUAUGUGAAUACUCUCCUGAUGCCUGACUCAGUCCUGGUUCCCAGCUUACAGGGGCUGCUGAGGCAGGAA